UUCCAGACUCCUACGGGAGGCAGCAGUGGGGAAUAUUGCACAAUGGGGGGAACCCUGAUGCAGCGACGCCGCGUGGGUGAAGAAGCGCCUCGGCGCGUAAAGCCCUGUCAGCAGGGAAGAAAAUGACGGUACCUGAAGAAGAAGCCCCGGCUAACUACGUGCCAGCAGCCGCGGUAAUACGUAGGGGGCAAGCGUUAUCCGGAUUUACUGGGUGUAAAGGGGGCGCAGACGGCGAUGCAAGCCAGGAGUGAAAGCCCGGGGCCCAACCCCGGGACUGCUCUUGGAACUGCGUGGCUGGAGUGCAGGAGGGGCAGGCGGAAUUCCUGGUGUAGCGGUGAAAUGCGUAGAUAUCAGGAGGAACACCGGUGGCGAAGGCGGCCUGCUGGACUGCAACUGACGUUGAGGCCCGAAAGCGUGGGGAGCAAACAGGAUUAGAUACCCUUGUAC
rnacentral:rRNA from 1 species